ACCUUUCAGAUUUUGAUAGAUAAGUGGACAGGCAAGUCACAGGAAGACUUCUGCACUUGUUCCCUCCCUGUACCUGGAACGUCUUCCCUCAAAUAUACAUGACUUGUCUCUCCUUUCAUUCAGGUCGCUACCCAGAUAUCACCAUAAAGAAGCAUUUCCUCCUACCCUAUCAAACUGGAAAUACACUGAAGAAUUCAGGAGUAAAGAGACAUCAUACCUGCAACUUUCUAACAAAUAAUAACGUUGGGGAACACAGGAAGAUUAGCCCUGAGCUAACAUCUGCUGCCAAUUCUCCCCUUUUUG